GACAGAGGGUGCAAACGUUGUUCGGAAUUACUGGGCGUAAAGCGUGCGCAGGCGGUUUUGUAAGUCUGUCGUGAAAGCCCCGGGCUCAACCUGGGAAUUGCGAUGGAGACUGCAAGGCUUGAAUCUGGCAGAGGGGGGUAGAAUUCCACGUGUAGCAGUGAAAUGCGUAGAGAUGUGGAGGAACACCGAUGGCGAAGGCAGCCCCCUGGGUCAAGAUUGACGCUCAUGCACGAAAGCGUGGGGAGCAAACAGG
rnacentral:rRNA from 1 species